GUUCCCUGUUGGCUAAAAUGACACGACUUUGUUACUUCACAGCUGACACAAUACUGCACAAUUCCCUUCUUAAUUGAUAAAUGGGAAGAGAGAGAGAGAGAGAGAGAGAGAGAGAGAGAGAGAGAGAGAGAGAGAGAGAGAGAGAGAGAGAGAGAGAGAGAGAGAGAGAGAGAGAGAGA